rnacentral:lncRNA from 1 species
GGACGACAGCCUGCUUCAGAUGUGGGCAGGAGGGACACAUGGCUCGGGAGUGUCCUAGAGCAGCUUUUGUGGCAUAGUCCCAGCAGACAGCUUCUGGUAGUGUGGCUCAGCCAGUAGCUCCAGCCGCGACUCAGGCCAGUGGCAGAGGCCGGAGGAGAGGGGCAUCCUCUUCUUUAGCGGGUUUUAGAGGUGAAGGUCCAUCAGCUCCAGCGCGGAUCUUCACUAUGACUCAGCAGGAGGCGAACACAUCCAACACCGUGGUGUCAGGUAAUCUCAUCAUUGG